AUUGAACGCUGGCGGCAGGCCUAACACAUGCAAGUCGAGCGGAUGAGGGGAGCUUGCUCCCUGAUUUAGCGGCGGACGGGUGAGUAAUGCCUAGGAAUCUGCCUGGUAGUGGGGGAUAACGUUCCGAAAGGAACGCUAAUACCGCAUACGUCCUACGGGAGAAAGCGGGGGAUCUUCGGGCCUCGCGCUAUCAGAUGAGCCUAGGUCGGAUUAGCUAGUUGGUGAGGUAAAGGCUCACCAAGGCGACGAUCCGUAACUGGUCUGAGAGGAUGAUCAGUCACACUGGAACUGAGACACGGUCCAGACUCCUACGGGAGGCAGCAGCGGGGAAUAUUGGACAAUGGGCGAAAGCCUGAUCCAGCCAUGCCGCGUGUGUGAAGAAGGUCUUCGGAUUGUAAAGCACUUUAAGUUGGGAGGAAGGGUUGUAGAUUAAUACUCUGCAAUUUUGACGUUACCGACAGAAUAAGCACCGGCUAACUUCGUGCCAGCCGCCGCUGUAACAC
rnacentral:rRNA from 1 species